rnacentral:lncRNA from 1 species
UCUCAUAGUAAAGUUACAUGCCCCAUGGAGGUAAGCCUUGAGCUGAUCCACGUUAUUUGAUUGUAUCUUUUAUGCAUCUCUAUUCUUUGUUUCUUUUGCAGUAUUGACAUCAUCAUCGAUGUUACGAUCUUGGAUGGAGAUCCAUAUUCUGCAAUCUUAAGGGAUCUUUUUUGACAAGUGGUAUUAGAGUAUGGGAUUGUUCGGAUUGUAGCGA